AUGAUGCGGUCACUCUGUUAUCUCAGACACAUUCCUGCCCCGGAGGUGUCUCAGGCCAGGAUUCCAAGCUUCUGUCUCGAGCCUUGUUUUCCUCGCCUGGAGGACAGACACGGGACAGUGUCCUCCACUGAGGAUGGGGCCAAGACCCAGACCGGUUAUGUGAAGCUAUGGAUAGUGCCCCCUCUCCAGAGGAUGGGAAGGGUAGCGGGGGGCAGAAGGGGAGGGGACCAUAGCAGGGGGAAGGGUCCAGUACCUCCUAGGACAGAUAGGAGACAGAGGCCCGGAGGGGCAGGGCCAGGGUCCCCCAGGGGCUGGGAGCUCCUGACCCGCUGUAGGGAGGAGGGAAGGAGGAGGGGAGCAGACAGACGGAUGCACACUGGGGUAGGUUAUCCCCUACCCUCUCCUCAGGCUGCAUGGGCUCCAACCCGAGCUGCCCCCCUUGAUCUCCCUUUGCAGGUACACAAGUUCCUAGACAAGAACCAUGACCAGGUACGCCAGGAUGUGCUGGAUCUCUUUGUGCGGAGCCGGACACGGGUAAGCAAGCCUGUCCUCCUGCCACUCUGCCCUCCCCCCAGCACCCAGCCCAUGAUCAGGCCCCCUCUCAGUCCAGGAGAUGGGGAGGUCCCACUAGGUACCCAGAUGCUGGUCCUGCCUCUGGGGCACCCUACCUCCAGCCAGGCUCUGACCCAAAUCUCAACCCUAACUCAGAGUCUUGCCUUGCUCUGUACUUUCUCCGAUUCCUGGUCCUGUCCCCUGAAGGGCCAUGCCCCUGGCCGGCCCCACUGGAUCGCCCUGCCUGUCCCCGGGCCCAUCCUGGCCCUGCCCACCCGUGCUCUGACCUGCCCUAUCCCCUCACUGAGUGGUUCUCCCAAAUGGCCCUGUUGUUCUCAGCCACCCACCCCAUUCUCUGGGCCUCCACCUUCUUCUCUGUCUAAUGGGCGCCCUCCUGCUGAGGUCCCUGCCAGAGUUCAUGACCAUGUGUGUAGGAGCCCAGCUCAGGGCCAG
rnacentral:lncRNA from 1 species